rnacentral:rRNA from 1 species
UACGUAGGGAGCAAGCGUUGUCCGGAAUCAUUGGGCGUAAAGCGCGCGUAGGCGGCCCGAUAAGUCCGCUGUGAAAGUCAACGGCUCAACUGUUGGAUGCCGGUGGAUACUGUCGGGCUAGAGUACGGAAGAGGCAAGCGGAAUUCCUGGUGUAGCGGUGGAAUGCGCAGAUAUCAGGAGGAACACCUAUAGCGAAGGCAGCUUGCUGGGACGUUACUGACGCUAAGGCGCGAAAGCGUGGGGAGCGAACAGG